AUACUAACCUGGCAGGGGGGAUAUCAUAACCAGGAAGGUGGUUUUCCAGGGGCAAGUGUUAUUUUUUGCACUCUAGAUAUGCUGACUUUCUUCGAUUCCCUCAAACGUGGGAACUUUGACUGUAUAUUUUGUAGUAGUGGUGCCCUGUGUUUGCCCUUUCCCCUG